GAUGAACGCUGGCGGCGUGCCUAAUACAUGCAAGUCGAGCGAACGGACGAGAAGCUUGCUUCUCUGAUGUUAGCGGCGGACGGGUGAGUAACACGUGGAUAACCUACCUAUAAGACUGGGAUAACUUCGGGAAACCGGAGCUAAUACCGGAUAAUAUUUUGAACCGCAUGGUUCAAAAGUGAAAGACGGUCUUGCUGUCACUUAUAGAUGGAUCCGCGCUGCAUUAGCUAGUUGGUAAGGUAACGGCUUACCAAGGCAACGAUGCAUAGCCGACCUGAGAGGGUGGUCGGCCACCCGGGAACUGGACCGCCGUCCCGGCUCCUGCGGGAGGGCACAGUCGGGAAUGUUCCGCAAUAGGGGGGAACCUUGCGGAACCAGCGCGCGUGGGUUGUGGAAGUGCUCCGAUCGUAAAAAUGUGUUUUUAGGGAAGAACAGAUGUGUAAGUAACUGUGCACAUCUUGACGGUACCUAAUCAGAAAGCCACGGCUAACUACGUG
rnacentral:rRNA from 1 species